GGUUAAAAUUUUUAAUGGAACAUUGAACAAGACGUAACGUCAGCUCGACGAGUUACUUUUUUUCUAUUUACGCAUGUGAGCACUUUCGCUGCUUGGGUAAUCAAAACAGACUGACUCCACUUGCGGCAGACAUAUGCGAGAAGACAGACAGCUAAUUAUGUCAAUUAAACGCUUGUGCCCGACAUUUGCCGCUGAUUGUCGGUGACACUUGGCCAACUCACAAUGACGAACGUGGAUCACUGCAUGUCAAAAGGAUGAAAUAACUGGAAUGACACACAGGACAAAAAUAUUGAAUGCAUUUUUCAAACCCUAAAGCCAACCAUUUUUGUAUGAUUUAAUCUUCGUUUUAUCUCAACAUGAAUGGCAGUAACCAAAGCGAUGUCAUCGAGCUUUAAGUGUUAUAUAUAGUGACGUGGGAAUGACGUCUGCACAUGUGAAUGUGUAACUGCCUCUGAAGGACAUAAUAUGCAAAUAAGUUUCGAACAACAGUCAGUUCAGUUCAGUUCGGUUCAGUUCAGUCGACUCCAUCACAAUCACAAUGGAAUGAUGGAAAAUAAAUAGAUGGACUAAAUAGGUCAGGGUCGAAUAGAUUUUACGUGGAAAACAAUGACUACUCAAGCAUUAAGUAGACCAAUUCGUUCGACCAAAAAUUCCAGAUGCAGACAAAUACGAAUACACCGGUGAAGUUGAUAGCUGCAAAAAUCCACUCACGUACAAACGUUGUACUAGUUAUUUGAACAAAACAAGCACACACACACUUGUGCACUUUUCCCAAUGGCAAUAGAAAAGCCCGAAAAAGAAAACAGUACUGGUAGAGAGGAAAAGUGAGGAGCCAGCACAGGUACAAAUCUAUAGAAACAACAAAUAGCAUGCACCCCACUCGUAACCAUAACAAUUCAAUCAAAUGUUCGCCCAGUUCGUCCAUGGACAUCUUCGAAUGGAAACAAACACAAUGCCGUUUCAGAGACAUCAAGAGCUUUUCUUCAAAGGAAAAAUGCGCUCUGUGCGGCUGCGCAGUAUCUAGUGUCCUAACUUUACCGCUUGUUAUCUGAAAGAGCAAGAGAGAAAUGCAAUACAGAUGAACUGGAUAAGAGGGAAAAUUGUGCGAUGUUUUCCCCUUUUGUAUAGGUGCAACUAAAUUGAAUAACU